rnacentral:rRNA from 1 species
UACCAGCACCCCGAGUGGUCGGGACGAUUAUUGGGCCUAAAGCAUCCGUAGCCGGUUCUACAAGUCUUCCGUUAAAUCCACCUGCUUAACAGAUGGGCUGCGGAGGAUACUAUGGAGCUAGGAGGCGGGAGAGGCAAGCGGUACUUAGUGGGUAGGGGUAAAAUCCGUUGAUCCAUUGAAGACCACCAGUGGCGAAGGCGGCCUGCCAGAACGCACUCGACGGUGAGGGAGUGAAAGCUGGGGGAGCAAACCGGG